rnacentral:rRNA from 1 species
GCAGUGUACCCGCGGCAAGACGGAAAGACCCCGUGAACCUUUACUAUAGCUUGACACUGAACAUUGAGCCUUGAUGUGUAGGAUAGGUGGGAGGCUUUGAAGUGUGGACGCCAGUCUGCAUGGAGCCGACCUUGAAAUACCACCCUUUAAUGUUUGAUGUUCUAACGUGGACCCGUAAUCCGGGUUGCGGACAGUGUCUGGUGGGUAGUUUGACUGGGGCGGUCUCCUCCUAAAGAGUAACGGAGGAGCACGAAGGUUGGCUAAUCCUGGUCGGACAUCAGGAGGUUAGUGCAAUGGCAUAAGCCAGCUUGACUGCGAGCGUGACGGCGCGAGCAGGUGCGAAAGCAGGUCAUAGUGAUCCGGUGGUUCUGAAUGGAAGGGCCAUCGCUCAACGGAUAAAAGGUACUCCGGGGAUAACAGGCUGAUACCGCCCAAGAGUUCAUAUCGACGGCGGUGUUUGGCACCUCGAUGUCGGCUCAUCACAUCCUGGGGCUGAAGUAGGUCCCAAGGGUAUGGCUGUUCGCCAUUUAAAGUGGUACGCGAGCUGGGUUUAGAACGUCGUGAGACAGUUCGGUCCCUAUCUGCCGUGGGCGCUGGAGAACUGAGGGGGGCUGCUCCUAGUACGAGAGGACCGGAGUGGACGCAUCACUGGUGUUCGGGUUGUCAUGCCAAUGGCACUGCCCGGUAGCUAAAUGCGGAAGAGAUAAGUGCUGAAAGCAUCUAAGCACGAAACUUGCCCCGAGAUGAGUUCUCCCUGAGACUUAGAGUCUCCUGAAGGAACGUUGAAGACGACGACGUUGAUAGGCCGGGUGUGUAAGCGCAGCGAUGCGUUGAGCUAACCGGUACUAAUGAACCGUGAGGCUUAACCUU